CUAAGAUUAGACAACUGUAUGCUGUAAGAAAUUUGGGCUUAAAUGCAAAUCUAAAUAAAUAAAUACAUAAAUAAAAGUGUUGUAUGAAACAAACAUUAUAGAUAACCAGGACUUGCUCUCUCUUACUCCACAGGUAACUACAGAACUCUAGGUGUAAUAGACUGAACUAACUGGAGAAGAUUAGUUCAGCUAAGCCUAAAUGCUAUGGGGUUUAACACACUAAAGCUCAAUUUCUUGGGAAACCAAGCUGAACAUGGAUGACACAUGGAUUCAUUCCAGGCUGGGUGUAUUUGCUGCAUGAACUUAUUUGGUCUUGAAGAAGCAGAGCUUCAGCAUGGACAAAAAGAAGCAAUUAAAUUCUGGAAUAUUUAUGAGGUAAAAUCAAUAGAACUUGUGAUUUAUCAGAUAUGGUGAGGGAUAAGGGAAAAGAAGAUCAACUGAGAUGUGUAGUUUAGGCAAUAGAAUAAAUGUUGUAGUAACGAACA
rnacentral:lncRNA from 1 species